rnacentral:rRNA from 1 species
AUUGAACGCUGGCGGCAGGCCUAACACCUGCAAGUCGAACGAGUGGCGGACGGGUGAGUAAUGUCUGGGAAACUGCCUGAUGGAGGGGGAUAACUACUGGAAACGGUAGCUAAUACCGCAUACCAUCGGAUGUGCCCAGAGGGGAUUAGCUAGUAGUUGGGGUAAAGGCUCACCUAGGCGACGAUCCCUAGCUGGUCUGCGGGGAUGACCAGCCACACGGGAACUGAGACACGGUCCAGACUCCUACGGGAGGCAGCGGUGGGGAAUAUUGCACAAUGGGCGCAAGCCUGAUGCAGGCAUGCCGCGGGGAUGAAGAAGGCCUUCGGGUUGUAAAGUACUUUCAGCGGGGAGGUGUUACCCGCAGAAGAAGCACCGGCUAACUACGUGCCAGCAGCCGCGGUAAUAC